rnacentral:miRNA from 1 species
CGAGGAUAAUUGUUGGAACCA